AGCAGCCGCGGUAAUUCCAGCUCCAAUAGCGUAUAUUAAAGUUGUUGCAGUUAAAAAGCUCGUAGUUGAAUUUCGGGAUCAAUUAAUCGGUCGUGCCUCUGGUACGUACUGGUUUUAUUGGUUCCUCCCUUCUGACGAAACACGAUGUCAUUAAUUUGGUGUCGUGGAGAAUCAGGACUGUUACCUUGAAAAAAUUAGAGUGUUUAUAGCAGGCUAACGCUUGAAUACAUUAGCAUGGAAUAAUGAAAUAGGACGUUCGACCCUAUUUUGUUGGUUUCUAGGAUCGACGUAAUGACUAAUAGGGAUAGUUGGGGGCAUUAGUAUUCAAUUGUCAGAGGUGAAAUUCUUGGAUUUAUUGAAGACUAACUACUGCGAAAGCAUUUGCCAAGGAUGUUUUCAUUAAUCAAGAACGAAAGUUAGGGGAUCGAAGACGAUCAGAUACCGUCGUAGUCUUAACCAUAAACUAUGCCGACUAGGGAUCGGAUGAUGUUAAUUUUUAAUGACUCAUUCGGCGCCUUAC
rnacentral:rRNA from 1 species